rnacentral:tRNA from 1 species
CGUGGGGUAGAUCAGUCCGGCAGAUCGUCUGGCUCAUAACCAGGAGGCCAUGGGUUCAAAUCCCAUCCCCGCAACCU